rnacentral:lncRNA from 1 species
UUUAUUUAAAAUAUCUUUUUUAGAUAUUAUCUAUUUAAUUUCAAAAUAUAUUUUCUUUUUAAGAUAACGGAUUUUAUUUUUCUAUUUAAUUUCAAAAAUUUAUUUCCUAACAGAUUUUAUUUUUCUAUUUAAUUUCAAAAGUAAUUUUUGCAUUAGAGAUUAUUGUUAAUUAUUUAUCAUUAAAGCAUAUCUUUCUUAAUUGCGUGAUUUAUUAUUUUAAAUUUUUUAGAUACAUAUUUGGCAAUCAUAUAAAAUAUGGCCUAAAAUUAAAAAUAAUUUAAAAAAAUUAUAACUUUUCUAAUAAUUAUUAUGUGCAUUUGCACGUACAUUUUACUAGUAUAUAUAUAUAUAUAUAUUAUAUAUAUAUAUAUAUAUUAUAAUAUAUAUAUAUAUAUAUAUAUUAUAUAUUAUAUAUAUAAUAAUAUAGAAACUAAUCAAGCAAACAAUUAAAGUAAACUUCUACUAAACAAAAAAAUCAUACGAAAUUAGACAAAGUAGAAAAUCGAUUCACAAAAAUCAUACGAAAUAUAUCUUUAGUUUUAACUAGUUUUUAAUUAAGAUCUUUAUGGGAUCCAUAUACAAUAAUUAGGAAAAAAAAUAAUAGUAAGUGGACCGAAACAUACAUUCAUAAACUACAUAAAAAUAAAUUGAGUUAUUUUUUCGUGAAAAAAAAUUUAUUAGCCCUAUAUAAUAUCACAAAAUAUUUAAAAUUAGGUAUAACUAGGGGCCAAUUAGCCAAAAACCCUUAGCUAUUUAUGAUCUAAUUCAUUAAUUUAUAGUAACAAAAAUAAUAUUGACAAUUUUAAAGAAAUAUACAAAAUAUUUUAUAACUUUGCACAUAUUUGAAAUCGCCCCUAAAAAUUUUUGUAACAAUCAGAUGUGAUCCUACACUCCAUCCAUCCAAAGGUGGCAAAAAAUGCAUGAAGACCCCUGAAUUUUAGCGCUUUUGCAAAUAUGUGCCUAAAACUUAGUUUUGCCAAUUAAAUUUCUUAAACUUUAGCAAAUAGUUUAAUAAGUCCCUCUGAGUUACUCAAUUAUACAAUCAUUUUGAUUGUAUGUCAUGCACAUAAUCUCGUGAGACUUCAAAAUGCUUAUAUUUUUCUCUUUUAAUUCUGAUAAUUAAUCAUGAAAAUCAAAGACACGAUAAACCUAACUGUCGAUUUUUGUUUUUCAUUUUUGGUAUGUUAGAGUAAAAUAUAUAUAAAUAUAUAUUGUAUAUUGAACUGAAUUUUGACUAGAUUAUAAGCAAAACAUUGACCAAUUAAAAUAGCUACAAAAGUUAUAUAUAACUUCAAUUGAAGAAAUGAGCUUAUUGAAUUAUUUGAUAAAAAUUUAAGAUCUCUCUAAUUGUGAAAAUUAAGAGUUCAAAUGCCUGUUCGCUAAAAAGCUAAAAGUUUAAGGAAUCUCUACACAUUUUUUUCCAAAAUAAAUAAGUAAAAAGAAUUUCUCGAAGUGAAAUUUAAUUAAUUAAAUUUUUUUAAUAAGAAAUAAGAAUUUAUUAUAAUGGGCUCUGAACGCUUUUAAUUGGGUCGGGCUAGUCAUAACUCGAUCAUAAGUCCAUUUUGCAUGGAUCCUUGGAGAAGAGAUUGUGCGUACGUAACUUUUGCUCGUAAAUCAUAUACCAUUUUCUUUUUUGUUUAUUUUAUUUGAGGCACAUUUAAAACUAUAUUUUCUAAGUGAAGAGAAAUCAUAAAAAUUAAGUCGCAUUUAUAUAUAUAUAUUUUUUUUGUUUUUCUAGUACCAAGCUUGUACUUAUAUCGAUCCCUAUCAAAUUCAAGCCCUAUAAAUUAAUAGAGAUGUAAAGAAAAUAAAGUUCUUCUCCUCUAAUUAAAGUUGAUCACUCUCUAAUUAGUUGUUAAUUUGGACAACAUCUUGAAUUGGUUUCAUGUUGCCGCAGCAAUUUUGUGUAGAAUUGUUUGGCCUAUGCUGUUGUAAUUUUUACCUAAAUUUAUGGUGCGUUUGGUUCAAAAUAAAGAGCAAAAUAGAAAAUGGGAAUCAAAAUGGACAUGUAUCGAAAACGGAAUUAAUGAUACAACCUCCCAAUUAAUAUAUUUGGUUCAGAAUAACAAUCGAAAUCGGUAUGGUUGAAUCGUGCUCUCAAUAAUUUUAAAAAAUAUUAUAAAAAUAAUUAAAAUUAAAAUACAAAGUAUAAAAAUAAUUCAAAAUUGAGUUUCCACCUCAAAAAAUAAAAUAAAAUUUAUAAUUUAAAUUUAAGCUAAAAGUUAAAUAUUGAAAAUUUACAUCAAUAAAUAUAAUUUUUAAAAAAUUUAAAAUUGAUUGGACAAUUCAAAAUAUAAUAGUAAUUUUUGAUUUGAUUCAAAUUCAAAUUUAUAAUUAAAGUUAAAUCUAAAUUUAUAGAUCACAUUCAAAAUGUUUGAUUGAAUUUCUACUUUAAUUUAAUUUCUAAAUCAAAGUCUAGAAUAAAAUAUUUAAUUUAUAAUUUUAAAUUUAUAUUUUAAUUAAAAAUUAAAGUCAAUAAUUAAAUCUAGUUUAAAUAAAAAAAUAAAACAUAAUUGAGAUAUUUGCGUAGAGUUUAUUUUUUCCGUCAGGAUUCAACUUCCAAUCUAGCCUCCUAUGCCGGAUUCGAAAAAAGGGUGAUUUGAAAACUCUUAUUCAUCCGAAAACCGAAAUCAGAAUGGAACUCCCAUAUAGCAAAUACCCAAAAACGGAUUCAUUUAUUUCGAUUCUGAUUUCUUAGUGAAAAAUCGAUGAACCAAAAACGCCCUUACCGUUUUCUAAAGAGGUUUAAUUGAAGUGGCCACUUAAAAUAGUCAGACAAUGAAUUAAUAAUAUUGUCCAGAUCACAGACUUGAGUUAAACCUAUGAAUUUUGGAAUUCGGAAUACUGCAUAUAAUCAGUCAAAUUAGUGAUUCAUUAAUCGGUUAGUUUUCUCCUGCAGAAUAAAUUUACGUGCUAAAUUAUAAGAAAUCUUAAACUAAUAGAUUAUAAUAGUGUUUUUAUAUUCUUGUAUUUAAAACUCUUCCUCACUUAUGGGUUCGAAACUAUUUGAUGAGCACAUGACGUGAACUUUAAAUUAACAACGAUAUGUUGUUUGAUCUUUAAAGUUUAAACUAGUGGAGAAUGGUCUUUUUUUUUUGCUUUUAUGUUUAAUCAUUGUUUCUCCAAAACAAUUAAGUGAGAGAAGGUUAAUGAUGCUAUGAGCCUGACGAAACUCAAACUCAGGCUGGGUCUUUGACUAUGAUAUCAUGUUAAAUUAUAUAAAAUAAAAAGUUUAAGUUAGCAACGGAAAGGACUGAGUUCUGUGGAGCUAGGUGACAUCCCUAUAUUUUGGGUACUCGAUUUGAUGCUGCAAUUAUUUUUUAAUCUUUUUAUUACUCUUCUCAUACUUUUUUUUUAGACAUUUUUUCUUUUCAUUUUAUCUUCUCUUGAGGCACCUUCUUUCUCACUCUAUAUAGCUAAAUUUAUUGUCUGAAUGAAUGAAAUAGGUAGCGUGCUAUUUUUUUUUUUAAAAAAAAAGUUUAAAUUAGUAGAGAAUAGUACUUCUAUAUUCUUAUAUUUAAGAGUACGUACAUACAUCCUUUAUGUUAAUAUUUAAUAGAAGAGGAAUUGUUAAGCAUAUAUAACUCGAAUCUUCCGUCCUUCAUCCUAUGGUUGAGCCAACCUCUUUAAAUUUUAGUACUAUAUAUAUAUAUAUACUGCUAAUUUUUAGACGACUAAAAUAUAUUAUCAAAAAACACAAAAAAAAUCAGCAGCAGAUCGACAAGCCGACGAUUUACAGAUGAGACGUUGGUGGCGACUAAUAUUUGAUGCCUACCAAGUUGGCAGCCAUCCCAUACCACUCACCCACAAGAAACUGGUGGUCCUCAUAAGUGACGUCAAUAAAGUACACCCAAAUUCAUUAAUCUUAAAACAAUAAUGACCACCACAUGGGUUACGUGAAGUGGAUGAUGAUGAUACACAGAUGCAAUGAGCUUAACUGUGUCUCUCACAUACCCCGCACAGGCACAUGGACGAUGAAUUUAUCUAUCAAUAUCAAUAUCAGCCAGUUGUGCAGAAAGCUAUCCGUCCCCAAAUCAUGGCAUGGAAUCCCCAGCCAACCUCAACUGCCGCCUGCUGCCUGCUGCCUGCUGCCUGCUGCCGACAUCUUUCUUUCGUCCUGACAUACAAUAAUUAGGUAAGACUUGCGUGGAGAUCCCUCACUAAUUCUAUCUCCAGAAAUACAUACUUAAAACACUUUAUUAUUAUUAUUAUUAUUUUCACCGACUAUUAGCUAGGAAUGUCAAUGGGUACCAAUAUCCGAAUCUGAACGCAAUGGGUGUAGUUUCAGAUACAUACAAAUAUAAAUAACAAAAAUCCGACGAAUUUAGAUUCGGGUAUGAAUUUUGUUUGUGCCUGACCUGAAUCCGAAAGCUGAAUUUGUAUUUUAAAAAUUUAGAUUUAACUAAUAUGUUUUGAAAUAUGAUAAAGAUAAAUAAUCAUUUCGAGUUCGGAUUCGAAUUUCAGAUAUGAAUUUUUUAAAUUUGUCGGAUUCGGGUUUAGAUUUCAGAAUUUGGUGAUCGGGUUCAGAUUCAAAUUUUUAAAAAUCAGCUCUGAAUUCGAUCCAUUGACACUCUUUUUGACUAUCGCUCAACUUUUGUACGUUAUAACUGUGAGUUUUUUGAAUAGCCGAAAAGUUGUUAGAGCUGUGAAGUUUACAAUUUAUACUAGUUAAUGAUGCAACCAAUUUAGCAUUAAAGUUUUUUGAAAAAUAUGAUUCAACCAAGCUGGUAUAAAAAUUUGUGAGUUCAAUACAUUUUACAUUCGUCAUGAAAAAUUUUUAAACGGUCAUAAUUUUUCGCUCGAGAUCUCAGAAGUUGAACCCAAAUUCAACUAUUUAUGCCUUUGUUUUUACAUUUUUAGAUUAUUAUUGGAAAGAUUCUGUAUUUUUUUAUUUUCAGUCCGGUUAUUUGAUUAUUUCUAAUUUAUUUAGAUUCAAAUAUAUAUUAAAAUUUUGUACCUUCAAUUAGAGCAUGUUUGGUUCACCUACUUUAAACUAUGGAAUCGGAAUGAAAUUCAUUGAUUCCGAUAGUUGCCGUUUGUUUUAUAGGAAUCAGAUUCCGAUUCCCAUUCCACUCCGGAGUGGAAAUGAUCAAAUCCAUUUAUGAUCCAAUCCGACUUUGAAUUCCAGAUUCGCUCAUUCCAAAAUAAACUAUUCAAAAUCCUUUUUUAUCAACACCUACCUCCUCCCCUUUCAUCACUUUUCUCUCUUUUAAUCAAAACACUUUCUAAAUUUUCAUUCCGAUUUUCAUUCCAAUAAUGAACCAAAUAUAUUUGGAUGAUUCGUCAUUUCAUUUUCCAUUUCAAAACAAUCCAAUUUCAUUUUCCAUUCCUAUUCCAAUCAUGAAACAAACAUGCCCUUAUAGUAGGAAUGAAAUAUAUAUCGUUUAUAUAUAUACAUAUAUUUGUCGUUCAGUUAAUGUAAUUAGUUUCUAGAGUUCGAUUAAUAAAUUUUUAAUUUCUCUUGUCAAACAAUUGAGUUCUUCGCGCAUCCGGCUCUCGCGUCCUUGUGCUUCUUCAUUUUAUCAUGCGGCUUUUAAGUACAUGUGAAGGUUAGCAAAUGUGAAAUAUCUAUAAAUAAAGAGAAAAUCCAAAAUAGAAUGUUAAUUAAACUUAUCUAGUUAUGUUUUGGCCUACUAUUAAUUGUUAUUAUGUCUCCUUAUAUAAAUUGUUUACUUAACUGAUUAUCUGGAUGUGGAAAGUUGUACAUACAUUUGUGAGAUUUUUUUUUUUUUUUUUUCAAUCUCUAUGUGUAUGGCAGAUCUGUCGGCAGAUCCCGUCUAAGAUUCCGGGAGGGGAAAGCGACAUUUAGCUUCUAGGAUUAUUCUUUCAAAAAGAACCUUUUUUGAAACGACCUAUAGUUGAGGGGGUUUCUCAUAAUCUUACCAACCAACAAUAAUUAUAUAUAUAUAUGAUGAGAUAGAGACUAGUGUGGUCCCCUAAUUAGUUAAUUAUUAUUUUUUUUUUCAUGCUCCUACCCCCUAUUUUAGUACCUAUAAGAUUUAGGGAACACAUCAACACACGUAGUCCCAUGUAGUUUUUUUUAUUUUUUAUUUUUAUUUUUUUUAAAAUAGUCUAUAACUAGGGACUGUUGAGAAUUAUAUCCCUACUUUGUUAUUUAUGUCUUUGUUAGAGCUUUAAUUAAGUACCUUCCAUGAUGAAACUCUGUGGAUUAUAUCAUUAGUGCAAAGAUAUGGGACUAAAAUUGAGAUCUUAAUUGAUAGAUAUGAAUUGGUGCAUGUUCUUGCGUGAUUAUGUACGUCUCGUGCGUCUUUUUUUUCUUUUUUUUUUUUCUACACAUGUCGGCAAAAUUUUGAACACAUAUCUUAAAAAAAGAACUUUUUAGAACCAUAAAAGUUUAAGAAAAAAAGUUAUCUAUCAUCAAAGUUUUAAAACGUUAAAAAUUGUCUGUAUCCUACAAAAAAUUUAUUUUCCAUUGGAACGCACGAAAGAACAAACUCGUCAUUUCACUCGAAAUAUGGCUCACAUGUCAUGAAUCACAUGAUUUUAAUGCUUAGAUAAUGAGUUCGAAUAUAUUUUAGGUGGUUCUGAGAUUUUUCUUUUUUCCAAAUUAAUUUGUUUGUUCAAAAAGAUCGAAAUACUGAUUAGUUCGACAAAGGUGUACAUCUUUGGUAUAUGAAGGUGGGCGGCCGAAUUGACCAUGGCGCUGAUAUUUGAAAAAGACAAUGAAAUUUUAUUUUAGUAGUUCCAUGUGUUUCCUUUAUCUUACGUAAAUAGUGUAAAUGUUUGUGUACGGCGUGAACUCGACGUUUUAUACAAAAAAUUAAUGAAUGAUGUCGAAAUUUGCUGUACAGACUCUCUAAAAAGUUGAUGGAUAUCGUGACUUGUGCGUAACGAACACGCCUUGAUUUUAUUUUGUAACUUAAAUAAAAAGCAUCUAAUUUCUCCUCGCGCACAACUACUAACAAAAGCUUCUUAUAGAAUUUUUGUUCAACGUUUUGGGUCGUCGAAGUUUAGGAAUCUCAAAAUACAAAAGAUUUCAAAAUUUUCAAAACAUUAUUUUUUUCUUAUUAAUAUUUAAUUAGUUGACCUUGCAAUAUUUAAUUCCCGGAGACUUUUUACCUACUAAUUUGUUCCUAGAAUCCAAAUUCUAUGAAUACCAAUCAAGCAAAUGCGAGCAAUUUAUUGAUGUGAUUGCAAAGCGACUCUUCCGAUUUUGAGAACUACUUUAUUCCUCAAAUAUUUUCCUCAAAUAUUUUUUAUUAGAAAUUUAAUGUUAUAUAAAGGUCAAAGUAUUUUAUGUAUAUUCUUAUUUUCAUUACUAUUAAAGAAAAAAAUAAUAAUUGUCUACAUCGGAUAAAGUUUUCAUCAGCUUCAUAAUAUAUUAAAAUUUCUUAUUUAUUUAGAGAUUAAAUGAAUAAUUAAAAGUAUGAAAUGGACGAACAACCCUAAAUUGGUGUUCAACGAAUGUACGAAUACAUUAACUUUAGUUGACAAAAUUUUAUGGUACAUAAUUAGUACCAAAAACGCAUUCAAUUUUUAAUAUUUUCAAAUACAUCAUUUAAAAGUUCAAGGAUAAAAAUAAUCUUGAGUAUAGGUUUAAAGAGUAGAUCUAUAAUAAUUUACUGCGGAGUAAAAUAUAGAAAAUUCUCACAUAGAUUUCACCUAUUUUUUUUUUUUUUUUAUAAUAAACACUUCACACUUUCUAUACUAAAAUUGUAGGCAUAAAAUUCUCCUCGAUCUUUGAAUAAAUAUUAAAUCUUAAUAUUUAGAAUGAAUGUUGAAUUUAGAGGCAAAACUUUAUAAACCUUGUAGACGAUAGUGAUAAUGCUUAGUGGAGUUUAAUCACAUAAACUAAAUAUAUUUUCCUCAUAAGUUGCCAACUUUUUUUUAUAGCUUUAGCAAAGAAAAAAAAAAAAGAAAAACUCAAUUCAACCCUCUAUCUCAGUUGUGAAUUCUAAUCGAGACACAGAUAAAAGGCACCUAUGCGCAAUUAAAAUCGAUAUAUAUUUUUACACGACUGGAUAAAUAAGAUAUGGGUUAGAUGAACUGCAAGCAGUGUCGCAAUAUAGAAACUUCAAAUAAUAAAUCAAAAUAAGUUAAAAUUUAAGAACCAAAGUAUAGCGUUAUUCACAGUUUGAGAGCCAAAAGUGUAAUUUAUCCUUACUUAAAACACGUUUUAUAAUUCUUAAUAAGUUUAAGGGAAGCAAUAAUAUUAGUACAUUUUCAAGUGAGAUGUACACUAGGCAUUAUGGACACUGACACGCGAUACGAGACACAACGCAAUUUGGACACGACCACUCGGCAAUUUUCAAAAUAUUAGGUAGUACAUUUCAAAGUGAGAUGUACACUAGGCAUUAUGGACAUUGACACGCGAUACGAGACACAACGCAAUUUGGACACGGCAACUCGGUAGUUUUCAAAACAUUAGGACACGGACACGACAUAAAUGCUGCUUAUAAAAUAUAAUAUUAUUAAUAUAAUAAUAUAUAUUUAUUAUAGAUAAAAUAUUAAUUUUGUAAAAUAUUGUUAUAUUUCUCGUGCGAAUGAAAGUUAGUAAAAUUUUUAUUAAUAAUUUAUAUAUUUUAAAAAAAUUUUCUGCACCAUACAUAAUUUAUUUAUAUUGUUAAAAAAAAUUACAUAUAUUCAUCAAGAAGUUAAAAUAUUUAUUAUCUUAUAUUUAUAAUACAUAAAAAAGUAAAAUAAAAUAAAAU